rnacentral:rRNA from 1 species
CCUACGUGGUGCAGCAGUGGGGAAUAUUGCGCAAUGGGCGAAAGCCUGACGCAGCGACGCCGCGUGAGGGAUGAAGGUCUUCGGAUCGUAAACCUCUGUCAGCAGGGAAGAACGGUCACUGUGCUAAUCAGCAGUGAAUUGACGGUACCUGCAACGGAAGCACCGGCUAACUCCGUGCCAGCAGCCGCGGUAAUACCGAGGGUGCGAGCGUUAAUCGGAAUUACUGGGCGUAAAGCGCUCGUAGGCGGUAUGUCAAGUCAAGGGUGAAAUCCCCGCGCUCAACGUGGGAACUGCCUUUGAAGCUGGCAAACUGGAGUGUGUGAGAGGAUAGUGGAAUUCCAGGUGUAGGAGUGAAAUCCGUAGAUAUCUGGAGGAACAUCAGUGGCGAAGGCGACUAUCUGGCACAUAACUGACGCUGAGGAGCGAAAGCGUGGGUAGCAAACAGGAUUAGAUACUCCAGUAGUC